rnacentral:rRNA from 1 species
AUGAACGCUAGCGGGAGGCCUAACACAUGCAAGCCGAGCGGUAUUGUUUCUUCGGAAAUGAGAGAGCGGCGUACGGGUGCGUAACACGUGUGCAACCUGCCUUUAUCUGGGGGAUAGCCUUUCGAAAGGAAGAUUAAUACUCCAUAAUAUAUUGAACGGCAUCGUUUAAUAUUGAAAGCUCCGGCGGAUAGAGAUGGGCACGCGCAAGAUUAGCUAGUUGGUGAGGUAACGGCUCACCAAGGCGAUGAUCUUUAGGGGGCCUGAGAGGGUGAUCCCCCACACUGGUACUUAGACACGGACCAGACUCCUACGGGAGGCAGCAGUGAGGAAUAGUGGUCAAUGGGUGCAAGCCUGAACCAGCCAUCCCGUGUGAAGGACGACUGCCCUAUGGGUUGUAAACUUCUUUUGUAUAGGGAUAAACCUACCCUCGAGAGGGUAGCUGAAGGUACUAUACGAAUAAGCACCGGCUAACUCCGUG